rnacentral:rRNA from 1 species
UACGGAGGGGGCUAGCGUUGUUCGGAAUUACUGGGCGUAAAGCGUGCGCAGGCGGUUGUGCAAGACAGAUGUGAAAUCCCCGGGCUUAACCUGGGAACUGCAUUUGUGACUGCACGGCUAGAGUGUGUCAGAGGGGGGUAGAAUUCCACGUGUAGCAGUGAAAUGCGUAGAGAUGUGGAGGAAUACCGAUGGCGAAGGCAGCCCCCUGGGAUAACACUGACGCUCAUGCACGAAAGCGUGGGGAGCAAACAGG